CAGUCGCCGCGGGAAUACGGAGGGUGCAAGCGUUAAUCGGAAUUACUGGGCGUAAAGCGCACGCAGGCGGUCUGUCAAGUCGGAUGUGAAAUCCCCGGGCUCAACCUGGGAACUGCAUUCGAAACUGGCAGGCUAGAGUCUUGUAGAGGGGGGUAGAAUUCCAGGUGUAGCGGUGAAAUGCGUAGAGAUCUGGAGGAAUACCGGUGGCGAAGGCGGCCCCCUGGACAAAGACUGACGCUCAGGUGCGAAAGCGUGGGGAGCAAACAGGAUUAGAUACCCCAGUAGUCCCUGUUUCUUAUAC
rnacentral:rRNA from 1 species